rnacentral:misc_RNA from 1 species
UUUCCGUAGGUGAACCUGCGGAAGGAUCAUUAAUGAGUUGUCAUGGGGUUCGAUGCUGGCAGCCAGUUUUUGGAUGCAUGUGCUUGCCCUAACAAUCAUCUUCCAAACACCUGUGCACAUUUUUGAGGGAGUCUUGAGUUGGUUGCCGCUCUUGGGUGAUUUUCUCACAUUCCCUUAAAUCAUUAUACGCUAUUAACAAUGUUGAACGUGCUCUGUGCCGCAAGGCUAUUAAUAUAAUACAACUUUUAACAACGGAUCUCUUGGCUCUC